rnacentral:misc_RNA from 1 species
UCGAUACAUGUACAUGCACAAGUGAUACACUGUUAUGUGAUCUACAGCGCUCUGAGGAUCGAGAUUUUCAACACAGUCAAAGAAAGGAACGACUGAUACAUUCUGCUAACUAAAAGUAGAAGAUGUUUAUGUGCGUAUCGUUGCGAGUAAACAUGUUUAUAUGUUCAUCGACGCUAUACUUGGAGAUAUGACAAAUGUCCAUGAAUUUUCAAGUAUCCUUAACUUAUAAACAUGUACAUUUAUGCAUUGUAUGAAUAGAAGCUGGAAGAGGGAGCUCAACAAAAACGAUAAUUGUUACAACUUCCGUUAAUUUAUCAUUAAUCAUUAUUUGCAAUCACAAUAAAUAUUGUGAUAAAAAAAAAAUGAAACAAUGAUUUUAUAUUAUUUUUAAGACUGUCACACAGUACGUUAUUGAUACAUAACAUAGACUGCAUACUUUAUGAACUGUUAAUAAUUUCGAAUACCAAUUAUUCUUUAUGACAUGAGUUACUCGGUACCGGCUUCUUUUGAACGAAAAAAAUGUACCCACACAUCC